rnacentral:rRNA from 1 species
UGGGGAAUAUUGGGCAAUGGGCGCAAGCCUGACCCAGCAAUACCGCGUGUGUGAAGAAGGCCUGAGGGUUGUAAAGCACUUUCAAUGGGGAGGAAAAAGGCAAGUUUAAUACGCUUGCCCUUGACAUUACCCAUACAAGAAGCACCGGCUAACUCCGUGCCAGCAGCCGCGGUAAUACGGAGGGUGCGAGCGUUAAUCGGAAUUACUGGGCGUAAAGCGUGCGUAGGCGGCCUGCCAAGUCAGAUGUGAAAGCCCUGGGCUCAACCUGGGAACGGCAUUUGAAACUGGCAGGCUCGAGUUGGGUAGAGGCAGGCGGAAUUCCGGGUGUAGCGGUGAAAUGCGUAGAUAUCCGGAGGAACACCAGUGGCGAAGGCGGCCUGCUGGGCCCAAACUGACGCUGAGGCACGAAAGCGUGGGUAGCAAACAGGAUUAGAUACCCUUGUAGUCCCUGAGCGGGCUGGCAAGGCGCAU